rnacentral:rRNA from 1 species
GCCCGCUCAGAAACUCAAAGGAAUUGACGGGGCCCGCACAAGCGUGGAGCAUGUGGUUUAAUUCGAUGAUACGCGAGGAACCUUACCUGGGCUCAAAUGUAUGUUGACGUAUUCUGAAAGGGAUACUUCUUCGGACAAUAUACAAGGUGCUGCAUGGUUGUCGUCAGCUCGUGCCGUGAGGUGUCGGGUUAAGUCCCAUAACGAGCGCAACCCCUAUCAUUAGUUGCCAUCAGGUCAAGCUGGGGACUCUAAUGAAACUGCCUACGCAAGUAGUGAGGAAGGUGGGGAUGACGUCAAGUCAUCAUGGCCCUUACGGCCUGGGCUACACACGUGCUACAAUGGUCGGUACAAAGGGUUGCCAAGCCGCGAGGUGGAGCUAAUCCCAUAAAACCGAUCGUAGUCCGGAUCGCAGUCUGCAACUCGACUGCGUGAAGUCGGAAUCGCUAGUAAUCGUGAAUCAGAAUGUCACGGUGAAUACGUUCCCGGGCCUU